AGCCCCCUGAAACGGGGUCUAAUACCGGAUAACACUCUGUCCCGCAUGGGACGGGGUUGAAAGCUCCGGCGGUGAAGGAUGAGCCCGCGGCCUAUCAGCUUGUUGGUGGGGUAAUGGCCUACCAAGGCGACGACGGGUAGCCGGCCUGAGAGGGCGACCGGCCACACUGGGACUGAGACACGGCCCAGACUCCUACGGGAGGCAGCAGUGGGGAAUAUUGCACAAUGGGCGAAAGCCUGAUGCAGCGACGCCGCGUGAGGGAUGACGGCCUUCGGGUUGUAAACCUCUUUCAGCAGGGAAGAAGCGAAAGUGACGGUACCUGCAGAAGAAGCGCCGGCUAACUACGUGCCAGCAGCCGCGGUAAUACGUAGGGCGCAAGCGUUGUCCGGAAUUAUUGGGCGUAAAGAGCUCGUAGGCGGCUUGUCACGUCGGAUGUGAAAGCCCGGGGCUUAACCCCGGGUCUGC
rnacentral:rRNA from 2 species